CCUACGGGUGGCAGCAGUGAGGAAUAUUGGUCAAUGGGAGGAAUCCUGAACCAGCCAUGCCGCGUGCAGGACGACGGCUCUACGAGUUGUAAACUGCUUUUGUACCGGGGUAAAAUGCUCUACGAGUAGGGGUUUGAAAGUAUGGUACGAAUAAGGAUCGGCUAACUCCGUGCCAGCAGCCGCGGUAAUACGGAGGAUUCGAGCGUUAUCCGGAUUUAUUGGGUUUAAAGGGUGCGUAGGUUGUUUUAUAAGUUAGCGGUGAAAUACCGAUGCUCAACAUCGGGGCUGCCGCUGAUACUGUAGGACUAGAGAUCGGAUGCAGCAGGCGGAAUGUGUAGUGUAGCGGUGAAAUGCAUAGAUAUUACACAGAACACCGAUUGCGAAGGCAGCUUGCUAGGCCAGGUCUGACGCUGAUGCACGAAAGCGUGGGGAUCGAACAGGAUUAGAUACCCUUGUAGUC
rnacentral:rRNA from 1 species